rnacentral:rRNA from 1 species
UACGUAGGGUGCAAGCGUUAAUCGGAAUUACUGGGCGUAAAGCGUGCGCAGGCGGUUGUGCAAGACAGAUGUGAAAUCCCCCGGGCUUAACCUGGGAACUGCAUUUGUGACUGCACGGCUAGAGUGCGGCAGAGGGGGAUGGAAUUCCGCGUGUAGCAGUGAAAUGCGUAGAUAUGCGGAGGAACGCCGAUGGCGAAGGCAAUCCCCUGGGCCUGCACUGACGCUCAUGCACGAAAGCGUGGGGAGCAAACAGG